ensembl:lncRNA
GGCUAUGUAUGUUUGAAAAUGCCAGGCAUUCAGUCACCAUCACUAAACUGAAAUCUCAUACUGCGGGACAUAAUAGAUUUUCUGUACUGCAUAAAAUAUAGAGCCCAUGGCUCUAUGUCAAACCUAUGAAAUCAAAAUUGGGGUAUAGUGGGACCUGAGAAUGUUGUUUAAUAUAGUUCCUGGGUAGGGUGGCCCUUAGAUUUUUUUCAAAGACUGAACUCCACUUCCUGACUCUUGAUGCCCUCUCUCCUCUGACAAGAAAUUUUGCGAAAUCAACCUGCCCCAAAAGUAUUCCACUUCUUCCUGGAUACCCAAGGACUAUAGGAUGAACCACAUCCCUGACCUACUGAGCCCAGACAGUCUUGAGCAGACUAAGGUCCAUGUAAAUGUCAAAUAUUCCUCAUAAAAUCAACCUGAGAAUAACCACCUUCAGCUGCCCAAAGUCGAGGGAAUCGGGGCAACAACUCUUCAAUAACCUCUUCAAGCUGUAAAACAACAGGAGUUUACUUUUGAAACAUUUGCCUCAGCCAAGCUGCCUGGGUGACAGUUAAUAAGGAGAAAACCAGGAGACAUCCACAUGGAGUGGAGACUGUGAAGAUCAAAGCUGAGGGAGCCUCAGCCAGAGGAGUGUCCUUAGCACGCCACAAGCAGGGCUCACAGAAAGAAUCUGAGGCCGAAAACCAGCAAACUGGCUGUCACCAAAAUGUGCCUUUUGUCACACACUCUUAGCAACUGUGUUCUUCGGCUGCAAUUAUUUCAACACAUGAUUUCAACUGCACUAACACCAGAUCAGGACCACCUGUUACUCUUAUGAAAGAUUUGAUAGGCCUGUUCCUUGUCUGAGCCCUGGUGAUCCCAAGAACAUCUUUGGACACACAGCUUUUCUAGAACAGCUGUGCCAGGCAUGACUGUAUGUAGUAAAAUCCUCCCAGAAAACAGUGACAUAUGAAAGGUCUGGAGGCUAUGAAAAAGGAAAACCCUGAUUUACAAGGAAGGAACCACGCGCCCAGCAUGACUCCAGAGACGGUCCUGACUGGGGUGGUGAAGGAAUGAAGACAAGACACACACAGGGACAAAGCUGGGAUCAGGUCAAUGUUCCGCUGGAGUCUUCACUCUGCCUCCCUCAGAUCUCUACAUAAGCUAUUCAAGAAAGCCACAAUGUUGUCAACAUGGGGAAAAAAUAUCACAUAUUCUUUAUAUAGAAGUUUACCUAGCAGACAUAUCUUUAACCAGUGGCUUCGGGUUUCUGUCUGAACGUAGAGCUGAAAACCACGUACCAGGAGUGCUGAUACACCCGACAGCAGAGAUCUGGAGAACUCUCUGGUUUAGAACUCUGGGCCAAGAUUACCAUCUACAAAGAUCUUUGGAGAGCAAUAAAUUGUUAGGCUAAUUUGGAAAGCCACAGAAAAUGUUUUAUUUUAAUUAUGUUUGAC